rnacentral:rRNA from 1 species
UACGUAGGUGGCAAGCGUUGUCCGGAUUUACUGGGCGUAAAGAGCGCGCAGGCGGUCGUUCAAGUCGCGUGUGAAAGCCCCCGGCUCAACUGGGGAGGGUCACGCGAUACUGAUCGACUCGAAGGCAGGAGAGGGUAGUGGAAUUCCCGGUGUAGUGGUGAAAUGCGUAGAUAUCGGGAGGAACACCAGUGGCGAAGGCGACUACCUGGCCUGUUC